rnacentral:piRNA from 1 species
UGCACACCUUUAUCUCAUUUU